AGACACCAGAGCACCAACUUCUCUCACUUAAACCUUAUGACAACCUUAAGAAGUAGGCAGCAUGAUCCCCUUCUUGGAAAUGCAGAAAGAGAGAAUGGGGGAGAUUGAGAGGCUUGCAGAAUGUGACAUCAUUAGGGAGAACAGUGGUUGAGGUCCAGCAGCUCCUGCAGAUGGGUGGUGGUGGAAGGAGGAGAGAAUGGGCCACAGGCAGGCCAAGGGCAAGCUUAGCAGCACUCAACAUCCUCCAUGAACUCAACAGAAGUCAAGAAUGCAGGCAGCUCAUGAUGAAGACCUGCAGCGGCCCAGGUUUACCAAGCUCAUUCACAAUUGCAGUUGGAGAAUUCGUCUUUGGUCAUUUUCUACUUUGGAAAUACGCUGGUAUGUGGCAACGACCUGACUUCAACCAGGAAGACAAGGUUGAUGACCUAAGGAAUAGCACUGUAGCAAAUGGAAGGAUCCCUGAGUGACUGUGUGGAGCAGAG
rnacentral:lncRNA from 1 species